ACCCUUUCUACUUGUUCGGGCUAAAAGCUAAGCGAUUGUCUGUCUGUCUGUUCAUUAAUAACUAUUUAUAACAACAACGAAAAUGUACAAAUCCCAAAGCAAUGUUUAACUUUAGACACCAAAGUUUCGAAUGCAACUAAAACCCAAUUAGUUGGCGGGCACACACAAGAGAGAGCGCUUUCCCUUUACCUUACAGCUAAGUCCAUGAGCAUGUCCCAAAACUAGGCAAAAACAAAGCUCAAGUCAAGGCUGCUUCUGCUACUCAUUUCGAGUCAAUAAAUAUUGAACCCCAAGCGGAAACAAGUUGCUCUGCGAAAUAAAAAACCCUGCCACAGGAAUGAACACAGUAUCUGGAAAGGACUCUUUUUCGGAAUGACAAAGCCCAGGCAAAUGACGUGAAAUGUACAAUAAAGAGGAGGAAGAGCUGCUCAUAAAAUGGCGUCUCCAUUUUGGCUGCUUGGCUGCCUAGCAGGCUGCCUGCAAGUGUGGCAUCCAUUCCAUUCGCCCACUUACAAGUAAUAACACUGGCCCCGGAGAGGGGCAUAAAAAUCAGAGGCAACACCACCAACCCACCAACCC